GAUGAACGCUGGCGGCGUGCCUAAUACAUGCAAGUCGAGCGAACAGACGAGGAGCUUGCUCCUCUGACGUUAGCGGCGGACGGGUGAGUAACACGUGGAUAACCUACCUAUAAGACUGGGAUAACUUCGGGAAACCGGAGCUAAUACCGGAUAAUAUAUUGAACCGCAUGGUUCAAUAGUGAAAGACGGUUUUGCUGUCACUUAUAGAUGGAUCCGCGCCGCAUUAGCUAGUUGGUAAGGUAACGGCUUACCAAGGCAACGAUGCGUAGCCGACCUGAGAGGGUGAUCGGCCACACUGGAACUGAGGCACGGUCCAGACUCCUACGGGAGGCAGCAGUAGGGAAUCUUCCGCAAAGGGCGAAAGCUUGACGGGGCAACGCCGCGUGAGUGAUGAAGGUCUUCGGAUCGUAAAACUCUGUUAUUAGGGAAGAACAAAUGUGUAAGUAACUAUGCACGUCUUGACGGUACCUAAUCAGAAAGCCACGGCUAACUACGUG
rnacentral:rRNA from 1 species